rnacentral:tRNA from 1 species
GCCUUCCUGGCGCAAUUGGAAGACGCGCUGGUUUCAGGAACCAGAUGUUCCGAGUUCGAAUCUCGGGGAAGGCACCA